UUUGCGUGGGAGGCGGUCCCGGGAUUUCAGGGGUCUACCGGCUCUCUUAUGGCGAAUGCAACCCGAAGAGAGAGUGAGGUAGAUCAGAAGUUCCAGGGGUCAGUAUCAUUUAAAGAUGUGACUGUGGGCUUCACCCAGGAGGAGUGGCAGCACCUGGACCCUAGUCAGAGGGCUCUGUAUAGAGAUGUGAUGCUGGAGAACUACAGCAACCUUGUCUCAGUGGGGUAUUGUGCUCACAAACCAGAGGUGAUCUUCAGGCUGGAACAAGGAGAAGAACCAUGGAGACUGGAGGAAGAAUUCCCAAGCCAGAGCUUUCCAG
rnacentral:lncRNA from 1 species